AUCUGUCUUUGGGAACUGGAGGGCUGGGGGUGGCGGAAGGCCCUGCGUGGGGAGGCUGAGGAUGGGGGGUAUGGUACACCAAGACAGAUGGUGUGUGAGGCUCUGAAUCGGUUCCCCAGUCUCCUCUCUGACCAUCUGGAGGGCCCCCCAUUCCCGAGGAACUGUUCCCUGAACAAGCAAGUCUCAGUUUCCUGCCUUCCUGGGAAGUGGGGAAAGGCUGAGAGGCCCCGUGCUGGGGGUGAAGCUAAUUCAUUAGUUACGCCUCAACAAGGACCGGGUGCCUGCGGUGCCAGCAUGAUUCAUCAUGAUGAUUGCCCCACUGCCAGCCUGCGUGGGCCCGGAACGCCAGCACAUUUUACCUUUACCCACUGAGAAGGGCCUGGUGGGAGGCGAAGGUACAGGAUCUGCGGAGAGCAAGAAAAAGGCUCUGAGAAACAAGAGGUCUGGUCCUCCAUGUGCUCAGCCCCAGGAAGCUCCGCCAGGCUGGUACCAGGGUGGAGAGGCUCAUGUGGGCUCAUGUGGUGCUGCCCGUGCCAGUGAAGCCCAAGAGGGCAGCCUGGUGCUGGAGUGCCAGCCUGAGCAUGUGGAGAGGCUGCUGUGAAGCCUCCUCCUCCACAGCCAAUAUUCCCUCGGUGAAACUGCUUCGGUGUGGGGGGAGGGACUCAUCCUCAUCCCAUUAGCCUGGCUGGAUAUUCCCUACCUUUCUGGUCUCUGGGGUACCUUUCCCUCUUCCAAGAAGUCCUCCUGAAUGAGUAGAAGGGAGAGAACUGGAUUGGAGCUUAAGUGACAUCUGGGAGGAACCUGAAGCCCCUCUGGCUAGGGCUGAGACUCCUAUACCUCAGGUCUGGUGUCUGGGUUCCACCUGGGUCCUCUACCUUGGCCUGGAUUUCUGCUUUCGUUUUGCCAGUUUCUCCCAGGAUGGAGGUACAUGGCUGGUUCCUGGCUCAGAGCAACAUCUGCCUCUGUGUCCCCUAUCACCUGUCUGUCCCCUGACACCUCUUGCCAUAUUAGAAUUGCUAUUGCUCUGCCCUUUCAUUCUUUUAUCCAACAAAUACAUAUUAUCUGAAAAAA